rnacentral:rRNA from 1 species
AGUCCCGCAACGAGCGCAACCCUUAUCCCAUGUUGCCAGCAAGUUAUGUUGGGGACUCAUGGGAGACUGCCGGGGUCAACUCGGAGGAAGGUGGGGAUGAAGUCAAGUCAUCAUGCCCCUUAUGCCCAGGGCUGCAAACACGCUACAAUGGCCGGUACAGAGGGCUGCGAUCCCGCGAGGGUGAGCGAAUCCCACAAAGCCGGUCUCAGUUCGGAUUGGAGUCUGCAACUCGACUCCAUGAAGCCGGAGUUGCUAGUAAUCCUGGAUCAGCACGCCAGGGUGAAUACGUUCCCGGGCCUU